rnacentral:tRNA from 1 species
GCCGAGGUGGUGGAAUUGGUAGACACGCUAGCUUGAGGGGCUAGUAAAGGCAACUUUGUGCAGGUUCAAGUCCUGUCCUCGGCACCA